rnacentral:rRNA from 1 species
GACGAACGCUGGCGGCGUGCUUAACACAUGCAAGUCGAGCGGUAAGGCCCUUUCGGGGGUACGACGAGCGGCGAACGGGUGAGUAACACGUGGGUGGACCUGCCCUCCAGCUCUGGGAGUAAGCCUCGGGAAACCGGGUACUAAUACUGGAUAUGACUCCAUGACGCAUGUUGUGGGGUGGAAAGCCUUGUGCGGCUGAGGAUGGGCCCGCGGCCUAUCAGCUUGUUGGUGGGGUGAGGCCUACCAAGGCGACGACGGGUAGCCGGCCUGAGAGGGCGACCGGCCAC